AACGAACGCUGGCGGCAUGCCUAACACAUGCAAGUCGAACGAGACCUUCGGGUCUAGUGGCGCACGGGUGCGUAACGCGUGGGAACCUGCCCUUAGGUUCGGAAUAACUCCCCGAAAGGGGUGCUAAUACCGGAUAAUGUCUUCGGACCAAAGAUUUAUCGCCUUGGGAUGGGCCCGCGUUGGAUUAGCUAGUUGGUAGCGUAAAAGCCUGCCAAGGCUACAAUCCAUAGCUGGUCUGAGAGGAUGAUCAGCCACACUGGGACUGGGACACGGCCCAGACUCCUACGGGAGGAAGCAGUGGGGAAUAUUGGACAAUGGGCGAAAGACUGAUCCAGCAAUGCCGCGUGAGUGAUGAAGGCGUUAGGGUUGUAAAGCUCGUUUAACCGGGAUGAUAAUGACAGUACCGGGAGAAUAAGCUCCGGCUAACUCCGUG
rnacentral:rRNA from 1 species